UAAGGAAUAUUGGUCAAUGGACGCAAGUCUGAACCAGCCAUGCCGCGUGAAGGAUGAAGGUCCUCUGGAUUGUAAACUUCUUUUAUCUGGGACGAAAACGGGAUUUUUAUCUCAAUUGACGGUACCAGAGGAAUAAGCACCGGCCAACUCCGCGCCAGCAGCCGCGGUAAUACGGAGGGUGCGAGCGUUAUCCGGAUUUAGUGGGUUUAAAGGGUGCGUAGGUGGGCUUAUAAGUCAGUGGUGAAAUCACCGAGCUUAACUUGGAAACUGCCUUUGAUACUAUAGGUCUUGAAUUAUCUGGAGGUAAGCGGAAUAUGUCAUGUAGCGGUGAAAUGCUUAGAUAUGACAUAGAACACCAAUUGCGAAGGCAGCUUACUACAUAUAAAUUGACGCUGAGGCACGAAAGCGUGGGGAUCAAACA
rnacentral:rRNA from 1 species